GUUGCCCAGGCUGGAGUGCAAUGGAGUCUCACUCUGUUGCCCAGGCUGGAGUAGAAUGGCGCGAUCUCAGCUCACUGCAACCUCCGCCUCCUGGGUUCAAGCGAUUCUCCUGCCUCAGUCUCCUGAGUAGCUGGGACUACAGGCGCCCACUACCACACCCGGCUAAUUUUUGUGGUUUUUUUAGUAGAGACAGGGUUUCACUAUAUUGGCCAGGCUGGUCUCAAACUCCUGAACUUGUGAUCCACCCAUCUCGGCCUCCCAAAGUGCUGCGAUUACAGGCAUGAGCCACCGCG
rnacentral:lncRNA from 1 species